rnacentral:lncRNA from 1 species
AACAUCUCUGUGUUUCUUGAAGGUGACGCUUUUUCAGGUGGUAAGAAACCCAGCCAUUGCAGGAAACUUUACCUUUGUCUUAGAUCCAUCUCUGUCCAAUGUGACUGUGUAUGUCACUGGAGACUCUCCAGUCUUCACCCUCUACAGCCCAACAGGUGAGUCUCAGUCAGGUUCAGUGGCAGAUGGUCCUCUGGGCAGCAUCCUGACUGUAGGGAAUCUAAAGAGAGUAAAACUCAACUCUCACAACCAGACAGGAGAGUGCAAGAUCUCUACAAGCUUCUACAGCCUGAAAGUCACUGGUAUCUGCCGGAAAAUGUUUUGUUUUGUAUGUAAGACAUUGAGAUUUUGACAUGCGCACACUGCACGAAUGUAUAACGUUAGAGAGUUUCCAGCUAUUUGCACAUAAUAACCAUUCUCCUACACUGUAUCUGUAUUUGUUUUAAACAGCAGAAUUAAUAUUUAUCCAUUUCUGUCAUAAUUUGUUAUUUGUUUGUUAAAAUACUGUUAAAAUUAUGAAUUUUGGAAGUGAAAAAGAACUAGUCAUUGUAUAAUUUAUAGUGAAAAAAUAAAUAAAAUUUACAUUCCCAGAAGUUUCUUCUUAGUUUUUUUUCUUAUCACUUAUGUACAUAAGGGUUUUAUCUUACAUCUAAUGUUUUUAAAUAAUGUUUAUUGCAUUAUUUUAGUAUAAUUUGUGUCACCAUGAUGGUGUUUAGUAUUUCUGUGAAUGACACUGUGCACCGUCAGUAUAUUUCUAUUUUUCUCCAUAUAUUUUGGAAGAGUUGCUUGUGAUGAGCUUUGAUUUAUCAUAUGACUUUUUCACUUUCUGUUUUGGGCGUUUUCAGUGUAUUACAAUGAUACAAAAUAGAUGUUAGUAUUUCAGUUGCUUGGUAUGCUAACUUUAUAUCAGUUAAUGAAUUACGUUUUUGGUUUACUGUAAAAUUUAAGUGAAAAAUCUAAAAUGUAGUUACCCCAUUUUUCACGGUAAAGUUCUGGCAACCACAGCUGCUGGUAUUUUAAUGUCACAACUUCACAGAUGUCAGUUUUUUUUUUUUUAUUCAGUAUACCAAUCGAAAGUUUGGGGUUGGUAAGAUUUCUUUUAAUAUUUUGCUAAGUUUGCUAAGGUUAGAGCAGAUUUAAUUUUAAAAGGGCACAAUCAACAAUAGUACACUGUAAAAAACUGUUGAGAAUACUUAAAGUAAGGCAGCUUAAUGAGGUAAGACUUUUGAUUUUUUUUUUUUUUGUCUGCUCAAUAAAGAUACUUUGUUGAGCCAAUGUAAAUUAGUUUUUUCAUGUCAAUGCUGAUUUUCUUAUUUUAUUAAUAGAAAAAUUCUUGUCAAAGCAGCUGAAACAACAAUUGCUGCAGUUGAGGUGAUAAAUUUUUUUUUGUUUCCUGGAACAAAAAAAAAAAAAAAAAAGUUUAAAAAGUCACCACAGGCAAUACUGUCUUUGUUUGUAAAACAACUUACAAAACUAAGAUAUCCAGGACAUUAAUGUCAGUG